AUUGAACGCUGGCGGCAUGCCUUACACAUGCAAGUCGAACGGCAGCACGGGUGCUUGCACCUGGUGGCGAGUGGCGAACGGGUGAGUAAUACAUCGGAACAUGUCCUGUAGUGGGGGAUAGCCCGGCGAAAGCCGGAUUAAUACCGCAUACGAUCUACGGAUGAAAGCGGGGGGCCUUCGGGCCUCGCGCUAUAGGGUUGGCCGAUGGCUGAUUAGCUAGUUGGUGGGGUAAAGGCCUACCAAGGCGACGAUCAGUAGCUGGUCUGAGAGGACGACCAGCCACACUGGGACUGAGACACGGCCCAGACUCCUACGGGAGGCAGCAGUGGGGAAUUUUGGACAAUGGGCGAAAGCCUGAUCCAGCAAUGCCGCGUGUGUGAAGAAGGCCUUCGGGUUGUAAAGCACUUUUGUCCGGAAAGAAAUCCUUGGCCCUAAUACGGUCGGGGAUGACGGUACCGGAAGAAUAAGCACCGGCUAACUACGUG
rnacentral:rRNA from 1 species